UUCGUCGCGCUGCUGAUGACGUCAGGUACGCACUUUCGUCGAGCGCGCUUUUGUCGAUCACGGUUUCUUAGACCUAAGCCUGUGUGUCUUUUGAAAUUCUGUAUCAUUGAAGUACAAUAGGAGUAUUUUGUUGCAAUUACCUAUACUAUGUACAAAGGAACCAGAAUUUUGUGGUGAUAUUCUAGGGUUUAAGAAUCAUCCUAUGGUAUCGAUAAAAGCUAAAGUAUAAUUCAAUUAGGGCAUGGUCCAGGCUAAAAUCAGUAGUUUUCAGUUACUGUUGAAUUAAAUGGGAGAGAAAGAGCAUAACUUCAUUUCUCUGUAUUUACCUACAGUGCAUUUCAGGGUUUUUAUUCUUUUUAAUAAAUUUAUAGACAUUUCUAAAAUUCUGUUUUACUUUGUCAUUAUGGGAUACUGAGUAUAGAUUAAUGAGGGGGGGGGAAUAAUGUCAACAACUGUAGAAUCAGAUUGCAAGCAUCACAUAAGUGAAGGGGAUCUGAAUACUUUCUGAAUGCACUGCAUAUUCUAUUCCAUCCUAUAGGCACAGUAUAAUUACUAUGUACACAUUAUACACUCUUCCCCCACUCCCCCACCCCCAAAUGAAGUUCUGUCCACAAGUACUCAUAAUCUAAUCCAUCAAUUCCUCUUCAUGUAGGUACUUGGAUACAGUAUCAGAUAUACUAAAUUCUGUAAGGAAAAUGGAAGAGAGCUUGAAGAGGCUAAAACAAGCCAGAAAAACUGUAACUGCAAAUAAUCCCUCCCCUUCUGGAGGCAUGUGUGAUGAUAACAAAAUCCGCCUACAGUUAGUUCUAGAUGUAGAACAUUUUGGAAUGCAGAUGGAGAGGAUGGGGAUGCAGCUGAGCAACAUUAAAAGUUUUUCCACUCUUUCGGAGCUUGUUCAAGCUGCUAAAGAUCAGAUAGCCACCGAACAAACAUAACAUCAUCUCCAGCUUUUUAAUGAAGAGACCUAGCUUCCAAAAAAGAAAACAACUUUAUUUUUUAUUUUUACUUUUCUUUGCCAAAUACUAUAUAGCAAAAAAAAGUGCUUCCUAAUGCAACUUCAGCACAGAUUUAAAUUUAUCUCAAAAUAGAAAAACUCAUUUUGUGAAAAUAAAGAAACAUACAGGGGAGAACUUUUAUUUUGGUUUUCCGUUAUAUGGAAGGCAGUUUAUAUAUUUCUACGUAUUCUGCCAUAGGAUUAUGGAAAUAUUUUUAUUUUUAUUGUAAAUUAUUAUCAUGCAGAAAAAAUGAAUUUAAGAUGAUUAAAAUGAACAAAAAGGAUUUUGUCUUUUUGUAAAUUUUGUUAGAAUAAACAGUGGUGUUAAGUAUA